rnacentral:rRNA from 1 species
GCCAGUGGUGAACUCCACAUACGCAUCCUUUGCUGAGGAUACGGUUAACGGAGCGAAAGCGACGUUCAACCUCAAAAGAAGCAGAGGGGGCUUAGUGGUGGGGUGACUGCGUACCUUUUGUAUAAUGGGUCAGCGACUUAUAUUCUGUAGCAAGGUUAACCGAAUAGGGGAGCCGGAGGGAAACCGAGUCUUAAUUGGGCGUUAAGUUGCAGGGUAUAGACCCGAAACCCGGUGAUCUAGCCAUGGGCAGGUUGAAGGUUGGGUAACACUAACUGGAGGACCGAACCGACUAAUGUUGAAAAAUUAGCGGAUGACCUGUGGCUGGGGGUGAAAGGCCAAUCAAACCGGGAGAUAGCUGGUUCUCCCCGAAAGCUAUUUAGGUAGCGCCUCGUGAAUUCAUCUCCGGGGGUAGAGCACUGUUUCGGCUAGGGGGCCAUCCCGGCUUACCAACCCGAUGCAAACUGCGAAUACCGGAGAAUGUUAUCACGGGAGACACACGGCGGGUGCUAACGUCCGUCGUGAAGAGGGAAACAACCCAGACCGCCAGCUAAGGUCCCAAAGUCAUGGUUAAGUGGGAAACGAUGUGGGAAGGCCCAGACAGCCAGGAUGUUGGCUUAGAAGCAGCCAUCAUUUAAAGAAAGCGUAAUAGCUCACUGGUCGAGUCGGCCUGCGCGGAAGAUGUAACGGGGCUAAACCAU